rnacentral:rRNA from 1 species
GACGAACGCUGGCGGCGUGCUUAAUGCAUGCAAGUCGAACGAGGCCCCAUGGAUGGGUAACCGUCCCGGGGUCCUAGUGGCGAACGGGUGAGUAACACGUGAGGAACCUGCCCCAGAGUCCGGGAUAGCCCAGGGAAACCUGGAUUAAUACCGGAUACCUUCGACCGGUCGCAUGUCUGGUCGAGGAAAGGUCCGCUGCUCUGGGAUGGCCUCGCGGCCUAUCAGCUUGUUGGUGAGGUAACGGCUCACCAAGGCAACGACGGGUAGCUGGUCUGAGAGGACGAACAGCCACACUGGGACUGAGACACGGCCCAGACUCCUACGGGUGGCAG